rnacentral:rRNA from 1 species
UACGUAGGGUGCAAGCGUUGUCCGGAAUUAUUGGGCGUAAAGAGCUCGUAGGCGGUCUGUCGCGUCGGAUGUGAAAACUCGGGGCUCAACCCCGAGCCUGCAUUCGAUACGGGCAGACUAGAGUUCGGUAGGGGAGACUGGAAUUCCUGGUGUAGCGGUGAAAUGCGCAGAUAUCAGGAGGAACACCGAUGGCGAAGGCAGGUCUCUGGGCAUUAACUGACGCUGAGGAGCGAAAGCAUGGGGAGCGAACAGG